GACGAACGCUGGCGGCGUGCCUAACACAUGCAAGUCGAGCGGGGGCAUGGAAGGAGUAAUCUGACCAUGCUCUAGCGGCGGACGGGUGAGUAACGCGUGAGCGACCUGCCUUUCACAGGGGGAUAACGGGGGGAAACCUUCACUAAUACCGCAUGAGACCACGAAGCUGCAUGGCUUUGAGGUCAAAGGAGCAAUCCGGUGAAAGAUGGGCUCGCGUCCUAUUAGAUAGUUGGUGGGGUAAUGGCCUACCAAGUCAACGAUGGGUAGCCGACCUGAGAGGGUGAUCGGCCACAUUGGAACUGAGAGACGGUCCAAACUCCUACGGGAGGCAGCAGUGGGGAAUAUUGGGCAAUGGGGGAAACCCUGACCCAGCAACGCCGCGUGAGGGAAGAAGGUUUUCGGAUUGUAAACCUCUGUCCUUGGUGAAGAGUAGAAGACGGUAGCCAAGGAGGAAGCCCCGGCUAACUACGUGCCAGCCGCCGCCGUAAGAC
rnacentral:rRNA from 1 species